rnacentral:misc_RNA from 1 species
AGCAGCCGCGGUAAUUCCAGCUCCAAUAGCGUAUAUUAAAGUUGCUGCAGUUAAAAGCUCGUAGUUGAAUUUCGGGACUAAUAUGUCGGUCGUGCCUCGGUACGCACUGGCUUAUAGGUUUCUCCCUUCUGACGAACCAUGAUGUCAUUAAUUUGGUGUCUUGGGGAAUCAGGACUGUUACUUUGAAAAAUUAGAGUGUUUAAAGCAGGCUCACGCUUGAAUACAUUAGCAUGGAAUAAUGAAAUAGGACGUUUGAUUCUAUUUUGUUGGUUUCUAGGAUCGACGUAAUGAUUAAUAGGGAUAGUUGGGGGCAUUAGUAUUCAAUUGUCAGAGGUGAAAUUCUUGGAUUUUAUUGAAGACUAACUACUGCGAAAGCAUUUGCCA